UUUGUUUAUUAGUUUUCAGCGUCUGCGUCUCUCGCGGCAACUGUUCCCCCCGUUAAUGCUUAUUUUUCACUCUCAGCGGCCGUACCUUUCCUGCCACUAAAAUUAUUUCGUCCCUUACGCCGUACAUUUUCGGGCUUAUUGAUUUUUUGUCGUGUCAGCAGACGAUUUACUCGUUUUGUUUUCGCUAUUCUAUCUUUUCGAUUCACGUAUAAACGGCAAGCUCGUAGUAGCAGACACGUGAAUCACCCGUCAAAAUGAGCGACAUCGAGGAUCGCAAUGGCAAUUCAAAAUCUCGGUCGAUCACACCGAGUGGUAGCCGUAGCAGAUCGCCCAGUGAUCCAAAGUCUCGUAGCCGAUCACCUACUCAUUCAAAAACCCGCUCCAGAUCAUUGUCUCGUCCUCCUAGUCGCAAUGGUAGCAAGUACAAGAGCCGUUCAAGACAUUCUUACUCCAGAUCGCGUUCUAGGUCCCGUUCAUAUUCUGGUGAUCGCAGACGUAGUUAUCGUAGCCAUUCUCGAGGUUCUGGUUCAAGGCGCAGCAGACAUGAAAAUCCCAAACCGAACAAAUGUUUAGGCAUAUUUGGUCUUAGUGUGUAUACAACUGAACAUCAACUCUACGAUAUAUUUGCUAAAUAUGGAUCAAUUGAUAAAAUUCUCAUCAUAAUUGAUGCUAAGAGUGGAAGAUCUCGUGGUUUUGGUUUUGCUUAUUUCAAAAAACAUGAGGAUGCAAAAGUAGCUAAAGAAGAGUGUUCAGGAAUGGAAAUUGAUGGACGACGCAUUCGAGUAGACUUUUCAAUUACUCAACGUCCUCAUACACCAACACCUGGCAUUUAUAUGGGCAGACCAACAAUGAGAGAAGAAAGGUCAUCUAGAAGAAGAGGUUAUGAUAGAUACGAUAACAGAUAUGAUCGUGGUGAUCGAUAUGACCGCGGUGAACGUUAUGAUAGAUAUGACAGAGACCGUGAUUAUGAUGAUUACUAUGACGGUGGAUACAGAGGUGGUGGCGGUCGAGGAGGACACUACAGAGAACGUAGAUCACCUUCAUACUACAAAAAUAGAUCACGCUAUGAGAGAUCACGCUCGCGUUCUUAUUCUCCACUUUUUCAGCUUUCAAAGUAUUUAAUCAAGAUUUCUCACAUAUUCAAUUUUUUAUUCAUUUCCUGAAGAACAUAUUCGAAGAAAACAGAAUAUUUCAAACUGUCAAGAUAUUUAUAUAUAAAUUGACUUGAAGACUUCUUGAACUUCUAUAACCCUAGAACUUUUUUUAAAAAUUUAAAAAAAAAAAUUAUAUUUAAAGAAGAUUCUUCAAUUUACAAAAGUAGAACACACGAAGACCCGCUCUCAAUAUGACCUAAGGGUAGAAAAUUGGUAGACACUGAUGAAGAUCUUGAAGUUUGUCAAGAAAAUUAACAGUUUAUCACCACUAAUUACAGAGGUGCGGAAAGAGUUUAAGACAUUUUCUUUGAAGACUAGGGGUAACAUUGUAAUUUGAAGCUUUUGUCAAGUCUGAAGAAACAAAAAUUGGAUGUUUGGUCAAAAAUAUUGACGUUAAUAAAUUUAGUGUUGCAAUUUUA
rnacentral:misc_RNA from 1 species